UACAGAGGGUGCAAGCGUUGUUCGGAAUUAUUGGGCGUAAAGGGCGCGUAGGCGGCCACCGCAAGUCGACUGUGAAAUCUCCGGGCUUAACCCGGAAAGGUCAGCCGAUACUGCGGGGCUAGAGUGCAGAAGGGGCAACUGGAAUUCUCGGUGUAGCGGUGAAAUGCGUAGAUAUCGGAAGGAACAUCAGUGGCGAAAGCGGCUUCCUGGACCAGCACCGACGUCAGGCACGAAAGCGUGGGGAGCAAACAGG
rnacentral:rRNA from 1 species